UUCCUGGGAGUGCGUAGAGACUUCAGCUCCCUUCCAAUGAAAGAACCUAGUGGGGAAACCCCCACUCAACUCCCGAUUCAGCAUGCACCCAAGAAUCAGGAAUAGAACA
rnacentral:pre_miRNA from 7 species